CCUAUAUGUAUAUUGCAGACUUAGGUGUUUAGCAACUUCAUCUCCUCACUUACUUAGGCAUGGGAGUUUGUUAUGAUUUAUGAUUUACAUUUUUUUCUUCUAUGCCUAUCUAGUAAGUCUCACAAAGAAAAAGGCUUUCUUUAUUUUACUUUAUCCGUCUGUCUACUUUUUAUUAUUAGGGCUGUCAAUCUUUUAGACAGUGAUCUUCCUCAGUUUGGCACUUUUUCUGGUGCUUAGGUACUAAGGGGAGAUUUACUAACACCCUAUGUAUUAAAGGGCCAGGACUAAUAAAGCCUAUAUGAAUAUUGCAGACUUAGGUGUUUAGUAACUUUAUCUCCUCAUUUACUUAGGC